GUGCUCGCUUCGGCAGCACAUACACUAAAAUUGGAAUGAUACAGAAAAGAUUAGCACGGCGCCUAUGCGAGGAUGACACGCAAUUUUGUGAAGUGUUCCAUAUUUUU
rnacentral:snRNA from 1 species